GACGAACGCUGGCGGCGUGCCUAAUACAUGCAAGUCGAGCGGACGAAUCGAAAGCUUGCUUUUGAUUCGUUAGCGGCGGACGGGUGAGUAACACGUGGGCAACCUGCCCUGUAGACGGGGAUAACACCGAGAAAUCGGUGCUAAUACCGGAUAACACGAAAUGUCGCAUGACGUUUCGUUGAAAGACGGCGCAAGCUGUCGCUACAGGAUGGGCCCGCGGCGCAUUAGCUAGUUGGUGAGGUAACGGCUCACCAAGGCGACGAUGCGUAGCCGACCUGAGAGGGUGAUCGGCCACACUGGGACUGAGACACGGCCCAGACUCCUACGGGAGGCAGCAGUAAGGAAUCUUCCGCAAUGGACGAAGGUCUGACGGAGCAACGCCGCGUGAGCGAAGAAGGCCUUCGGGUCGUAAAGCUCUGUUGUUAGGGAAGAACAAGUAACGCAGUAACUGGCGUUACCGUGACGGUACCUAACGAGAAAGCCACGGCUAACUACGUG
rnacentral:rRNA from 1 species